rnacentral:rRNA from 1 species
GACGAACGCUGGCGGCGUGCCUAAUACAUGCCAGUUGAGCGCUGAAGGCUGGUACUUGUACCAACUGGAUGAGCCGCAAACGGGUGAGUAACGCGUGGGGAAUCUGCCUUUGAGCGGGGGACAACCUUUGGAAACGAAUGCUAAUACCGCAUAAAAACUUUAAACACAAGUUUGAAGUUUGAAAGAUGCAAUUGCAUCACUCAAAGAUGAUCCCGCGGUGUAUUAGCUGGUUGGUGAGGUAAAGGCUCACCAAGGCGAGGUUACAUAGCCGACCUGAGAGGGUGGUCGGCCAGACUGGGACUGAGACACGGCCCAAACGCCUACGGGAGGCAGCAGGAGGGAAUCUUCGGCAAUGGACGGAAGUCUGAGCGAGAAACGCCGCGUGCGUGAAGAAGGAUGUCGGAUCGUAAAACUCUGUUGGUGGGGAAGAACGUUGGUGAGAGUGGAAAGCUCAUCAAGUGACGGUAACUACUCAGAAAGGGACGGCUAACUACGUG